rnacentral:misc_RNA from 1 species
GAUGAAGAACGUAUCGAAAUGCGAUAAGUAAUGUGAAUUGCAGAAUUCAGUGAAUCAUCGAAUCUUUGAACGCACAUUGCGCCCGCCAGUAUUCUGGCGGGCAUGCCUGUUCGAGCGUCAUUACAACCCUCAGGCCCCCGGGCCUGGCGUUGGGGAUCGGCGGAGCCCCCCGUGGGCACACGCCGUCCCCCAAAUACAGUGGCGGUCCCGCCGCAGCUUCCAUCGCGUAGUAGCUAACACCUCGCGACUGGAGAGCGGCGCGGCCACGCCGUAAAACACCCAACUCUUCUGAAGUUGACCUCGAAUCAGGUAGGAAUACCCGCUGAACUUAAGCAUAUCAAUAAGCGGAGGA